rnacentral:tRNA from 1 species
GGUUGUGGCUCAUUGGUAGAGUGCUUGCCUGGCAUGCAUGAGGCACUGGGUUCAAUACUCAGCACCA